rnacentral:misc_RNA from 1 species
AGAAAAAGAAAAAAAAAAAACCACUUCAUUCAGAUGAGUCUAAUAAAAAAAAUUUCUUUUCUUUUCUUUUCUUGCUAACCAAACAGAGAAAACAUCGUAUCUAAUUGCUUAGGUAGGCUAUGUUUUUCAUUUACCCUCAUACCGGCCUGGUACUUUACCAAAUAAAGUACAGACCCAUAUACUCAGUUGAUUUUCCCCUCAACAGAGCAUUCCCCUUCUAUUAAACUAUGUAAAUUACCUGAUUCAUUUGUGAAACA